AACGAACGCUGGCGGCAGGCCUCAAACAUGCAAGUCUAGGGGGUGCAGCAAUGCAUCACCGGCGGACGGGUGCGUAACGCGUGGGAAUAUACCUAUUGGUUCGGAACAACUGCGGGAAACUGCAGCUAAUACCGAAUGUGCCCGAAAGGGGAAAGAUUUAUCGCCAAUGGAUUAGCCCGCGUAGGAUUAGCUAGUUGGUGGGGUAAUGGCCCACCAAGGCUCCGAUCCUUAGCNGUUCUGAGAGGAAGAUCAGCCACACUGGGACUGAGACACGGCCCAGACUCCUACGGGAGGCAGCAGUUGGGAAUCUUGGACAAUGGGGAAACCCUGAUCCAGCCAUGCCGCGUGAGUGAUGAAGGCCUU
rnacentral:rRNA from 1 species